GAGGGUACAGCUUAGUGGUAAAGUGCAUGCUUAGCAUGCAUAAGGUCCUGCGUUCAAUCCUCAGUACCUCCA
rnacentral:tRNA from 1 species